UUAUUUCAUAUAAGGUUGUACUAUCUACAUAUCCUUUUUUACUUCACAUACACUUUCUUAAUUUUCAGCCGUCGAAUCGGUUUCGAGAGCAUUCCACCAGUUUUUGGCCACUAUCACUUUCAAGGCCCAGAUCAACUUAUCCAAGAUACUUCUUGACACACCCCGUCUCGAAGGAGGGCAUGUUGGCCGUCACGUGAGAGUGACGUAACCAUUUACACAGUUCGGAAGCUUUAAAAAUACAAUUACUAAGAUGAAACACCCGAGGGUGAGUCCUACUUUUGUGAAUUUUGUCAGAACACCGUUGGAUUCCUCGUGGCCACCAAAGCUCAGCUAUCUAGAACCUGGAGGGGCGCAAAACAAAAUUGAGUGGGUCAGUAAAACAAAGUUUUUCGAAAACUUUUCAUUUAAAACAUUUUUAACCCCUCGCUGUAAAACCUGUAUACUUUCCCAGAAAAUAGCAUAAUAGCAUAAUACUUUUCAUAAAUCUCAAAUCAUCAAUUUUUCUCAAAAACCAGAAAGUAUGCCAUGUUAUAAUUUCAAAAACAGAAUGAAUGAUGCAUCAAUGUAACAGGUGAAAUGGUGAAUUAACCGGAGACCCUGCAGUUGGUCCUGUACGGUUAAUUCUAUAGCUCAACAUCCAAUCCAACCGGAGUCACCUCGGUGACCUGUGCGGCACUACACUGCAUAUAAGUCGGAACUACCUGAAGUAGUCUGUACGACAUGAAUGGUGUAAUAAUACGCUCUAGUGCUUCUCUCAUCAAUCAUCUGUGCACAUAAUCUAAGGUCACCUAUCAGUCGGAACCCUCUCAUGGUCUGUAUGACAUGUCGGAACCCUCUCAUGGUCUGUACGACAUGCACCUAUUUGGAUCCAAGGUGAGCGUGCGGUGCAAGGUGAAUAAUAUAAGCACUAACACCAUGAUUGCAGGUUAUGAGCUAUCAACAUAAUAUACAUUAUCAAUGAUUCACAUGAAUAAUAUAAAACUCACCUGAUACUUACCUGUGCGUCCACAACACCAAUUCACACACACACAUAUAUAUAUGCAUCAAUUAUCAAUUCAUAUAACUCAUAUCAUUCAUAUUAUGCAUGCAUGGCAUUUUAGAAACAUACUUUCAUUAAAACUCAAUUUCUGGGAAAAUUCAUAGUAUAUAGGUAUAAAUAGAAAGUACUGCCCACUCACCUGGAGUUCGCCCAACAACUCCCUAGCACAACAUAUCAAGGCGUCAUGAUGAUCGGCGCCUAGAACAAUAAUCAAAUCUAACCUCAGAAAUCAUAUCGAUAGAAUAUAACUUAUAUAAAACACAUCACUACGCAGUUCAAUCCGGAAGAUCUGCAACUCAUAUUUCAAAUCCAUAACUUCCAGAGGUCCACAAUAUACCUCUAGGACAACAUCCUAAAAUUUCAUUACCAUCCAACGGUCGGAUCUCCGUCAAUUUCCAAAAUCAAGUGACGGUUAACAUUCUAUUUUAUGAACUUACAACUCCAAUUCAGGAAGAUCCGUAAAUCGGAUUCCCAAUCCAUAAGUUCCUAUAAUCCUCAAAUAUUACGUAUUACAACGUAUCAAAGUUUGGUGACGAUCCAACGGUCGGAUCGUCAAUUCAUAUUUUCACCUAACCACGAAUCGUAACGAGCUUAGGUUCAAUUAUUCAAUUUACGUCCAUCAAUUAUCAAAACUGAACCUAGAACCUUAAACACAUGCUAAGAAUGACAUUGGCGGGCCAUUGGCCACGCGCCGCCGCACGGGCCGCCGCGGGUGGCGGUUGGCCGCCCCGGCUCGCCGGAAAAUCCAACUAUUUCCAAAAAUUCUCAAAAAAUACAGAAUUUAAGAUCUCAAUGAGUAGAGCAAACUUUAUACCUGUGGCCAAGGCCAAUUUGGCCUGGAAGAGCUCCAAUUUCACCAAAACCGUGAAGAACCCUAGAAUUGGGUGUUUUCAAUUUGACCUUCAAAUCAAUACCGCCGUCCCAACCAAUGCUUGGGCUUUGUUCCAGGUCCUAGGGGAAUGCUAAUGGUGUUAGUAAUUGAAAGAAAACAUUUCAAGAUUUGAACAAUUUGAACAAAAAGUCGCAGCACCCACGGGUGCGGUUUUCACCAAAUCACCAUCAAAUUUCAUGAUUUUUGGGUUGAAACAUGAAGAGGGAAGGCCUAGGUGUUGAUUGGGAGUGGUACCUUGAUCCAAUUCGUGACAAAUCCGGUGAAAAUCGUCGGAAAAAUGGAGGUGGGUGCGCGGGUAAACGGGUUGGGGGAAAACCCGUUUCCUUCCUUCUCUCCUCCGCUUCUCGCCCUCUCUCCUUUCCUCCUUUCUUCUCCCUCUGAUUGGUCCUCCACUUUCUCUUCUGUCUGGUUGACCCAACUCCUCCCUCUCUCCUGUUCUAAUUGGGCACCUUUGCCUAAUCCUCCAUCUUCUUCUUCU
rnacentral:lncRNA from 1 species